rnacentral:lncRNA from 1 species
UAAAAUUAAAUUAGCAAGUUGGAUGGAAACUGUACACUGCAAAUUCAUGUCCAACAAUCCAACUUAGACGGCUCCAUCAAAUAUAUAUAUAGUGUCCACACAAAUCAUACACUGUAAUUUGAUGUACAGAUUAGACUGAUGCAUCAAAUAUGAUGUACAUCUAAAGUCUGUAUUGUUCUGCUUUAAAGAUAUCCAUGAACAUUCAGUAGACAUUUUAUUUCCAUUGCCCACGGCCAAUUGCCAAUCAUGAACCCUAAGAAACGGGAUCAAGGAGUCAAUAUUGAACGUCAAAAUUGAAAGUUGAAACAUUACGGUACAUACAUGUAACUCCGGACACGUCCACAUGGCACUUGUACGACUGCAUCAAGGAAUGGUGGGCGAGUUUGAGCACCAAGGGCACCGCCAACCGAAAAGCGAAGGCUUCGAUAACCAUGUUGGUUUCAUGGGUGAUCUGGAAUGAGUGUAAUGCAAGGGUGUUUAGACACAAGAGUGCCCCUCUGCAUGUCUUGCUAAACAAUGUGAUUGAAGAGUCCAACCUUUGGGUUAAAGCCGGGGCGAAAAAUUUAAGGUCUUUCUUAUUGCGAGAGUAAUUGCCAUGCCGUUUCUUGGCACUGUGUUGUAACAAACUCUUUCUCCUCCUCAUUUAAUAUAUGAGGCAAAUCUUUUGCCUCCGUUUAAAAAAAACAUGUAACUCCGGGGACCUCUAUACCUCUCCCUAGUGCACUAUAGCGUCACAUGAAGCCACCCAGCAGCCAACAAACCAGAUUGAUCUGUCAAAAGUAGAUUUCAGACGAAUCAACAUCACCUGUAAAUCAAACAGGGGUUUCUUCCACACAGUGUAUAUGUCACAGCACCGCAACAGUACACACUCCCCAAUGUUAGUAGCAGAAUCCCGUGCAUCCAUAUUUUGCGGAGGCGGCGAGGUGCUCGUCCACGGCUAGCCGUUGAUGGCAUCCAGUGCAUGGCUGCGUCCACGGCCAGUCGUUCUGACGACCACGCGACAGCAACAUCCUUUUCUCCUUCCCUGACUUCUCUUGGGCACCAUCAUCGGUGGACGGUGAGAAGGACCAACACAUUCACGGCCUAGCAGCAGAACUUCAGGUCAUCGCCGAAAGCGCUUGCAGGGAACCGGCAGAGCACGCAUAUCAUAGACAUGGGAACACAAAAUAAGCUCCUACAUUCAGCAAUAUAAAGCUAGCAUAGUUGGCACCCCGAAAUGAAGAAUCAUUUUGCAUCCUGGAAAGGAUAAUAUCAGCAAGUGUUGUGUAGGUCAAAUUACCAACCAACAAAACAAUGAUAUGCAUCAUGUGACAGUAGCAUCGUUUAAGGGAAAAUGCUCUACCAGGAGAUUGAGAGCAUACAUGCUGAUGACCACAUCGCUUCGACAGGUAUCCAUUGGAAUCUCAGGUGCAUCGUACAGUGUUGUAUUAUCGAGUAACACCAUGUGGUCAGCUGUAAGCUUGCUGAUGAAAACAACCUGGGAGUUUUGAAGUGCUGCUGUAGAUUCCUCACAAAGGUCAUACCCAGUUAGCAGUUACUUCUA